GCCGUUAGUUUUCUCGUUUGAAUUGUUUUACAUUUGUCAUUUUGGGUCCUUUUCAUAGCUGACUUUGAGGUAUAGGCUUCGCUCAUUGUUGAAGGUUAACCUACAGUUGUUAAUUUCUGUGUCAUUUAGUCGGUUGUCGAGAGUUGUUUAAUAGGUAAUAAAACCCCAUCUUUCUGUAAUAUUCAAAUCAACAGCCCGAUGCGGGGUCAAUGGGAGGUGGUUAAGGACGGGUGGGAUGAAGGACAUACGUAACAAUGUAAUACAACACCACAAGCCGCUUUCUUAAUGCCAUUUUUGACGAAAAAAA
rnacentral:lncRNA from 1 species